GACAGAGGGUGCAAACGUUGUUCGGAAUUACUGGGCGUAAAGCGCGUGUAGGCUGCUUCGCAAGUCGGAUGUGAAAGCCCUGGGCUCAACCCAGGAAGUGCAUUCGAAACUGCAGAGCUGGAGUCCUGGAGAGGAAGGCGGAAUUCUCGGUGUAGAGGUGAAAUUCGUAGAUAUCGAGAGGAACACCGGUGGCGAAGGCGGCCUUCUGGACAGUGACUGACGCUGAGGCGCGAAAGCGUGGGGAGCGAACAGG
rnacentral:rRNA from 1 species